UAUAUGUUUAGCAUCAUAGAAA
rnacentral:snoRNA from 1 species